UAGAUUCUUCUCUAGCUCCUUCAAUAAUGUCAAAGUCAUGAAUGAAGUUAAUGAUUAAUACUGUGUUAUUGGUGGAACUGCAUUUGCAGGUGUGACUAGAGGAUCAGGGAGGCAAGAUAUUGGGGCUUACGUAAACCUAGCAGCAUACUAUCUCUUUGGGAUACCAACUGCUAUAAUAUUAGCUUUUAGGUUUAAAAUGAGAGGAAGAGGAAUCUGGAUUGGGAUCACAGUUGGGUCCUUUGUGCAAGCUGUUUUGCUCGGUUUUCUUGUCAUCCUUACCAACUGGAAACAACAGGUAAGUAAAGUGAGACUGAUGUCCUUUUAAUUUCUUGUUUUUAGGGUUAGUAUAUAAAAAAAUUGAUUAGUGGAUAUGAAAAAGUGUUAUGUAUUGAAUCAUUUGGGCAGGCGAGAGAUGCGAGAGAAAGACUGAUGGGUGAGGGGUUUGAAGAUAAAGAAAGUGAAGAUCAUGAAGAGAUCAGCUAAACCAAGAGACUUCAUACACAUGAUAUAAAUGAUAUUUUCAUAAUAGUAAUGUUGUUUUCGAUAAUAGUAAUGACUAAAGAGGAAAUGUAUGUUCACAUGUACGUGCACAUGAGUUUUGGCCUCUAUUGUGUCUCCAUAUACAUUAUAUGAUCUUCCCCCUUAUAGAAGGAAGAUAAUCAUUAAUCAUAUGAUAUUGAGCAAAGUUUUUAAAAAGUUAUUAAGAGAAUUCUAAGGAUUAAUGCUCAUAAGAAAUAUGACGAUUACACAACUAGGAACUUGUAGAUUCACAAACCCUUACUUUUGUCAGAAUUGCAUGUAGUAGUUGUGAUCUCUAUAGUACUCCUCUAUGUCGUCCGCUAACAAUAUGGUCCUAGUCCAGAGAGCUUAGACCAUCUCCAAAGGGGGAUUUAAACUGGGGUUCUAAGGUUUAAAAUUAGAUUUAAAUCAAAAUACCUAAUAUUGCUUCGAACAGUGUUCUGAACUAAGGAGUUUUAGAACCCCUAAGAGAUGCUAACGUGUCAGCCGCUGAGUGCUUCCUACAUUAUCGCAGUUUGAUGGUAUUUGUGGUCUUCAAAUGUUUGGUUUCUUCUCACCCUAUAUAGUUCAGGUAACAAAUCUAAAUCCAAGUCUUGUUCUUCUUCAUUCAAACCUAUCCAUGGUGUUAGAGCAACCCAACGGUAAAGAAACCCAAUUGGAGUUUUUAGUAAUAAAGUAAUAAUAUUUUAGAAAUAAUUUAGUUUUAUAUUUAAAUUUAAAUUUUAAAUAAAAAAUGGACCACUAAAUGAAGAACAUGUGUAGAGACAAUUUUUUAUGAGUACCUUGUUUUAGAAACGAUUCUAUGUCUCUCUCUUCCUUUUUCAUUUUUUUUAUUUGUUUAAUAAUUUAGGUACUCCUAAAAAACCACCAUUGUGGAUGGUCUUAACUCUUACACAACUUAAUCCUCCUCUACAGGCCACUGAAGUUCUUGACCCAAACCAUCUCGUUGAAUACUGGAACCACAAGAACCAAACUACAUGAGACUCAAAAGAUCACUUCAUAUCAUCAAACUGUUCCGUAAGUUUAACCCAAAGGACGGAGACUAUCAGCUAAAGCAGUAUCUUCGUUACCAAUUAAUCGGCGUAGUGAGAAAUCAAGCGACGAAGCAGCAGCACACACCAAGAAUCAUUUGACAUGGCAACAUAUUCCAAUGACCAAGAUCAUUCUCAUCCUUUAUCAUGUCUUGUGAUCAUAGCUUCUGUUUCUGCUGUGUAUUGAUUUGUGACCUUAAUUCAACACUAUCGAACUUUUUCUUCAUUACUAUCGCAACAUGGUCCGAUGAGGCGAUGACUAAAAUGUUCAUACAUUUUGCUAUACAUUUUGGGGCUGUUUACACCUAAGAGCAUCUUUAUCGGUGGUUUCUUAGGCUAAAUCUUAGGGUAUAAUGAAUUAAAAAUAAAUGAGAAAAGAGUGAUAAUGUUAAGUAACGUUCCUUAACUAAGAAACAUUUAUUCACCUAAGAGGCGGACAUGUGUCAAUAAAUGCCCGAUUUUAUUGUCUUUUUCACGUUUCUCUUUCUCUCUCUCUUUCGCGAUGUCACUGAAGAGAUGAAAACCAGAAACAAUUUCAAGCAAAUCGGAGGUAUCGCCGACGUUAAUUAUCUCCGGCCGUCGUUCCGGCGUUAGCUCAUCAUCUCCACUGAUGCUGGUUGUCGAGGGCGUCUUCGGUUCACCAAAUCGGCGAUUCCUGGCUUACGAAAUCGGGGAUAAUUGCAGGAGAUCUUCGAGUUUCGAUUCGAAUCGGUGACAAUCGGUUUGUCAAGGUAGGAAUGUCUCUCUACUUGUGUGAAUUGAUGUGAUUUUAGGUUUUUAAAAUUAGGGUUCGUCGGAUUUGGAAAGUAGGGUUCGUGGAAUUGGGGAAAAAGGAAUUCAUUUUCUUUGUAUAAUCUGGGUAAUUUGAAUCAUGAAUGAAUGUCUCUAUGUAUUCUUCUAUAGCAACAAAAAUCUUAAUCUGGGUAAGAUUCUUCCAUUUUGUUUAUAGUCAGUGUUGUUUAUUUGUCUCUAUGUAUUUUUAUAUAGCAACAAAAAUUGUCAUGUGAAUGGAAAAAAAUGAUACAUUGUAUAUUGAAGUUUUGAACCCAUUUAUUUUUCAUCUUUGAUGCGUCUGACUUCCAAGUCUUCUUCCCAUGUUGCGAGCAAAGUCUUCUUCUGUUAAGACUUCAAAUAGCUCCAAUAGACAUAUAAAAUAAAUGCUUUGUUAGAAAACGAUAUACAAUUAUUAUUUUGUUUGACGGGAAAACUAUAGUUACUUAGAUAAGGGGAUACAUGCUGCUGAGUACCACUCAAUUGUGAGAAUGCCUUUUGGUGAAUUUUCCAGGAAAUGCAAAGAUCUCAGUAGUAUUGGUGACACAGGUAAUGUACUGUUUUUUCUGUAGGUGUGUCACAGUGAGGAUUGUGAAAUGGUCUAUUGAGUUUUAUCUAAUCAUGAUUCUGGUUUUGAUGUUAUGAUUUUGCAGUUGUGAUCUCUGUGACAAAAGAAGGGGUGAAGUUUUCAACAGUAGGCCAAGAUCUUUCACUUCGGAUCUAUCAGUUUGAUUGGGAAUAAAGCUGCAAGGAAAAAGAUCAUGAGUAUCUGAAAUUUAGUUGAUGUUAGAAAGUUUGGAGACCACAAGUACUCAUUUUAUGCUUUGUACACCAUGUAUCAUUGGAUUGCUUUGCUAUAAAUAUCACCAUGUAUUACACUAUAUUUUUCAUUCCCUUUUGUUAUCUUUUAUUCAAAUCAAUACAAAACUCUCUUUCUCUUUUCUUCUUACAAUCUGAAGAACAAAAAUCUAAACCAACGAGAGUUCUUGUUCUUUAAACAACCCUUGUUUUUUGAGUUAAGCCUUGUUCUUUUCACAAGACUUCAUAAACCAAAUCCAAGCAUUCAUAUUUUCUUUUCACACCAAUGUCUUGUUCUCAAACCAAAUCCAAACCUUGUUCUUUUCUUUUUACUAAAAAAAAUCCAAAAACAAUUCUACUUCAAACCAAAAAAAUCCAUCACUAUAUAUUUAUGUUAUAAAUUGUAUCUCAUGUAUUAAUUUUUUAAUUUGCAACAAUUAUUAAAUGUUCUAUAAUUAUAAAUUUUAUUUUUAUAUUAAUAACUUUUUUUAAGAACCACAUGUUAAGAGCCUACCAUUAAUCAUACAAAAAUCUUAACUCAAAAAUACUAUCUCUUAACAAUCACUUUCACAAAUAAAUUACUUAAAUACUAGAUUUUAACCCGCGGUACACCGCGGGAUGAUUUAAUUUUAAAGUUAGUAUAAAAGUAUUUUGUAAAUUGUAUCUCCUUAUAACAUAUUUAUUUAUAUUAUAGUUUACAAUUGUUAUUAAGUAACGGUAUACCACGAGUCCACGAGAUAAUUAUUAAUAAACUGAGGAUUUAACCCGUAUUAAAGCGGUAUAUAAAUAUUGAUUCAAAUUCAUCCGCCAUAUAAAUCAUUUCCGAAAUAUAACCCGUUCCGUAAUUUCUUAACCCGUCCUGUGAUUUGUAUUAAAAAAAAUAAGGAUUAAAUCCGUAUUGAAGCGGCGGAUUAAUGAUAUUUUAAUCUUUUUAUUAUUGUUGAUUCAAAAACCCGUCCCGCUAAACCCAUCCCGCCAAAAAACUCAUUUAUUUUAUUAAUGUUUUUAUUUAUGAUAUGAUUCUGAAUCAUUGUCUAAAUAUUUUAAUCGAUGUAGAACGUUGAACACACAUUUUCGUCAAUUGGAUAAUAUAUGUCCGUUUUAAAAAUUUCAAAUCACAGUAUAUGCAGAAAAAAAAUUGAUUUUUUUUUUACUUUAUGUAUUAUAUGAUGAUUCAAAACAGUUAAAAACAAAUCAAACAAAGAUGAUAGGAGAAUCAUAAUUAUAAAUCUUAAUCAAAUCUUCUAAAAAUCUAAAUUAUUAAAUAUGGAAUAUCCGGUGUAUGAGUUGGGUUAAAUAUAACCCGACCCAACAAAUUUUUUGUGAAGAAAUUUUUAAAAUGGGUCGGAUAUCCGAUAUACCCGAAAGCUUUUUUACCCAUCCGUCACAAAAAGUGCUGCGAUUAUACUAGUAUAGAUUCCUAAGAUUAAUUUCUAAGAGACCACCUAUAAUCACGCUCUAAGAUGCUUUUAAAAAAGUUUGAAUCGGUUAAAGCAAAUUAAAGAAAGCUUUUUUUUUUUUGUUUGUGUUUGUAGGAGUAGCAUGAUACAAUAGGCAACGACGCUAAAUUCCAAAUGAAAAUUUACUUUAAACUUUGAUGGAGGGAAAAAAAACGUUCAAAAGAGCAAACAAUUAUCGAAAAACAGUGAGAAAACACGAGGAGUGGAUUAAAAUUUUAGAUUCGCUCACAACUUCACAUGAUAAACGGAAGCAUUUUUUAAAAAACAUUUUAGUGCCUUGUAGAGAAAGAAACAACCAUAUGUUACUAUAUAAUCCCCGUGAUCUUAGGGGAAGAAGAAGCAGAGAGAAUGGAUUCGGUGGAGAAGGGAUUGCUUGUGGUUAACGACGGAGAACAAGUAAACACGAAAGAUGUUUUUUUACGGGAGAUGAAGAAACUUAGUUACAUUGCCGGUCCGAUGAUUGCGGUGCACUCGUCUAUGUAUGUUCUUCAGGUGAUCUCGAUAAUGAUGGUUGGUCAUCUCGGUGAGCUUUUCCUCUCUAGCACCGCCAUUGCUGUUUCUUUCUGCGGCGUCACUGGUUUCAGCGUCGUCGUAUGUCUCUUUCUUGAUCGCUAUCUCUCUCUUUAUUUACGUUAAUUAGCUCAAGAUAGAUUCUAAAUUGUUAAUCGCACAGUUUGGAUUGGCUAGUGCAUUGGAGACUUUGUGUGGUCAAGCUAAUGGAGCUAAGCAAUUCGAGAAGCUUGGUUAUCAUACUUACACAGGGAUUGUCUCUUUGUUUCUUGUGUGUAUUCCUUUGUCUGUGCUAUGGAGUUACAUGGGUGAUAUACUUUCUCUUAUUGGACAAGAUCCUAUGGUUGCUCAACAAGCAGGAAAGUAUGCAACUUGGCUCAUACCCGCGCUCUUUGGUUACGCUACUUUGCAACCGCUUGUUCGGUUUUUCCAAGCGCAGAGUCUGAUUUUGCCUUUGAUUAUGAGCUCAGUCUCUUCUCUCUGUGUCCACGUUGUCCUCUGUUGGAGCUUGGUCUUGGAAGCCUCGGUGCAGCUAUUGCGAUCGGCGUUUCUUACUGGUUGAACGUGACUGUUCUUGGAUUAUACAUGACGUUUUCUUCCAGCUGUAGCAAGAGCCGUGCAACUAUCUCCAUGAGUUUGUUUAAAGGAAUGAGAGAGUUUUUCCGGUUUGGAAUCCCAUCUGCGUCUAUGAUUUGGUAUAUCAACUUCUCUUCAUGCCUCUUUUGGUUUAGUCAUAGAGUUCUUGACAUGAAUCCAUUUGGUGUUGUUGGAUUAGCCUCGAGUGGUGGUCAUUCGAAUUUCUGCUCUUACUCUCUGGAAUCUUACCAAAUCCGAAGCUAGAAGCCUCUGUUCUCUCAAUCUGGUAUGUUCUUUUCAUCUUCUAAUGAUUUUGUGUUGGAAUGGACUAUUAUCAUAUACAACUCAGUUGCUUUCAUUCUUGUUUAACAGUCUAUCAACAAUCAACAUCGUGUACCAAAUAGCAGAUAGUCUCGCCGCAGCAGCAAGGUUCUUUCUUGCUCAAUUUCCCAAUCUUGUAACAUGGGAGCUAUCUAUCUAAAAUAUCUCUCUGUUGUUGACUUGUUGUUGUUGUAGUACAAGAGUUGCAAACGAAUUAGGAGCUGGAAAACCAAAACAAGCUCGAAUGGCGGUUUAUACAGUGAUGGUCAUUACAGGUGUAGAAUCAAUAAUGGUCAGCGCAAUAGUUUUUAGUGCAAGAAACGUUUAUGGAUACAUAUUCAGCUCUGAAACCGAAGUAGUGGUUUAUGUAAGAUCAAUGGCUCCAUUGGUUGCUUUAUCGGUCAUAUUCGAUGCUCUUCAAAGUUUUAAAAACGUUCUUAAGAGAAUUCUAAGGAAUGCUCAUAAUAAAUAUGACGAGAGUACACAAUUAGGAACUUGUAGAUUCACAAAACCUUACUUUUGUCAGAAUGGUAUGUAGCAGUUGUGAGUGGGUUAAAAAAAAAAGCAAACAAAUAUUUUCUUUGACUUUUAGGUUAUGAAAUUGAAAAAAAAUGGAUUUGAAGAUUAAAAUUUGA
rnacentral:lncRNA from 1 species